GCAUGCUUAAUUAAUGCCUUUGCCUAAUUUGCAUAUGUCAGCGUAUUGCUGACAUAUGCAAAUUAGGCAAAGGCAUUAAUUAAGCAUGC